AGAGCUUUUAUUUCAGUUUUUAUUGUUUAGGGCAUUGAAAUCAUUAAAGGUAAAAGUUUAAUUUUGUUGACUCCUGGUGAAAUUUUGAUUGUUCAGAGAGUUUCCUUCAGAUUCACAUCAGUUUUGAAAGUAUUGGUAGUUAUAUUAUACGCCACAUUUAAUAUUAUAAGCUAUCUGAAGUCAGUUUAUUCCAUUUUUGGAGAGGUUAACUUACAGCUCUAUUAAGCCUCACAAUUUGUCACAUUUCUUAUGUCUUUGGUUUGAAAUAAUCAUUGAGAGUAUGUUAAUUUAUAUUUUUCUCUCUUCCCUAUGUAUUUUUGCUGUGAUAUACAUAAAUUAUUUGUUUGGCACCUUUAAUUUCCUUCUACAAUUUCAAAUUUAAUUGAACCCUUGGAUCUAAAUUUGCAACUCAUUUUUUUCUUUGUCAGUUAUUGUACUAUUAAUGUAUCUCCAAACCCUCCAAAAUACAUCUUCUACCUCUAUAGGAAGUUGCCAUGUUUCUGUGUCCUGUUUUCUUUUCCCCCUCAAAGUUUUUUAUUUUUUAAUUUUUUUUUGGAUGUUCUUGUUGUUAAUGGGAAUUGAACUUAGGGACACUCAAGCACUGAGCCACAUUCCCAGCCCUUGUUCAUAUUAUUUUAUGUUGAGUCAAGGUCUAGCUGAAUUGCUGAGGCUGGCUUUGGACUUGGGAUUCCCCCGACUCAGCCUCCCAAGCUGCUGUGAUUACAGGUGUGAGCCACCACACCUGGCUUCAAAGUUUGUUACAUUGAUUGAUCUUCAUUUUCUUCAUUAUAAGGAAUGUUAUGUGAUUUUCCUGACUUCACAACAAGGCAUAAUUUUAAUCUGAAUUUCCGCAUUAUUUUCCUUGACUUUAAAAAUAAUUUUUAUGUUUUUUCACUUUUUGUAUUUUUUGAUCAUUACAUAAGUCAUACAUAUAUUCUACUUCAUGUUUUAAGCAUUACACAAAUUUAGAAUCCCCUGAAGAAUGUACACUAUUUACUUGCUUUUACAUCU
rnacentral:lncRNA from 1 species